AGAUGACUUCUUUUUCCCAGGGCUUCAAACUGCAAGACCCAUAACAAGUCCUGUUGGGUCGACCGUGACAGCCGUCAAUGUUAACAACCUUCUUGGGUUAAACACUCUUGGAAUCUCCCUUGUCCGUAUUGAUUAUGCGGUUGACGGACAGAACCCACCUCACACCCACCCACGUGCCACGGAGAUCUUGGUUGUCGAACUAGGAACACUUCUCGUAGGGUUUGUUACAUCAAACCCCGAUAAUCGCCUAUUCACUAAAGUUCUCAACGAGGGUGAUGUAUUUGUGUUUCCAGAGGGACUCAUCCAUUUUCAAGCAAACAUUGGCAAGGCACCAGCGGUUGCAUUCGCCGCUCUAAGCAGCCAAAACCCUGGUGUCAUCACUAUUGCACCAACCGUGUUUGGGGCUAACCCAGCCAUCAACCCAAAUAUUCUUGCAAAGGCGUUCCAGGUUGACCCAAGGGUUGUCAUGGAUCUACAGACCAAGUUCAAGAAAUAAUAAUAUCGUACUUUUGAAUUGCUAUCCCUUUAUAUAUUUGUGCCUGAAUAAGGAUCGUGUUUCUCCGUCCAUCCUUUCGUGACAUGAUCUGUUUCUUUGCUUCACCUUGAUUCAAUUCUAAAUAAAUUAAUAUUUGCACAUAUGUUUUUAAAAAUGUAUUCAUGUUCCUAAUGUCAGUUUGGAAAUUCACAAGUUAUCACUAUUCUGGUGGAGUUUUCUUCAACAAAACAAAAACAACAACAAAAAAACCAUAUUCAUUCAUUACAAAAUAUAUCAAAGUCUCUAGCUCAUUGAGAGAUUUUUGCCUUCAGAAUCCCUUAACAAAAAACAGAAAAAAAGAAGAAGAAGAGAUGUUUCGCCUUGAGACCAUCCACAUUGAAUAGCCUCUCAUGUUGUCUUAAAUACUAAACAUAGUUAAAAUUAAAGACAUCCUCCUUUUUGGAUGUCAAAAAUGUCUUUCCUAUGACAUUUUAGACACUCAAAACAGAAAAUGUCUUUAAUUAAUUAAUUAAUUAAUUUUUAUUUAUUUUUUUAAUGUCUUUAAUUUUAAUCAUGAUUAAACUAUUUUUACCAUGGUUAGUCUUUGAGACAUCCAUGAGAGGUUAUGCAAUGGAGAUACUUUGAGGAAUUAACGUUUUUAGCUAAAGAAGUUAAAGACUAAUCACGUGCCAUGAGCAUGGGAAAUUUUACUCGGUUUUAAACAAAUAACUUGCUUUGAUUUAUGUUUUUUCUUCUUCUCCAUCUUGCUUGUUCAAUUUGUAUCAAAAGACAAAGAGAGGAAAAUUCAUUGAUGUGGCACAUAUAUAUGGCUAGUGCUCUACGAUGGAUUUACCACCGAAAUACGGGUUCGGAUUUAUGUGGAAAAGGUAAAAUAUACUCCGAAAACAUUAGUUAUAUAUCCAAUGAUCAAAAAUCGAUAUAUAGACGGUAACUAAAACAUUUGAUAAGAGUCUGGGGCCUUAUUAGUAUAAAUAUGGGUUAGAAUAUUACCAUAUAUCUAAAUCCUCAAUAUAUUUAGGUUUAGCCGGCGCCUAAACUAUCUUGUAAUAUAAAUAUUUUCCUCUAGAUCAAUAAAGAUUCAAGCUAUUCUCUCAACUUUGGCAUGCUAGCAGAGCCAAACACUAAUAGAGCCAAACACUAAUUGAUCCAAACACACAAAACUCUUCUCUCAUCACAUAGAUUUUCACUAUGGUGAACCCUCCUCCCUCACCAAACUCCGGUAAAAGUACUUCGACCUCCGGAAUAACUAAAGAUUCUUCUCAAAUCUCAAACUCUCCUUAUUACUUAUAUCCAUCGGAUCACCCUCAUCAAGUUCAGUUAAGAUUUGCUCACUCAAAAACGUCGUCUACUUUUUCUUGAGAACAAACCACACACAAAACACGAACAAGAAUAUGCUUUGUUUUCGAAACAGAAUAUUGAGAACAUAGAAAAUGUGAAACCGGAAAAGAUGCAAGAUGAAAGUGCAAGAAGUAAGAACAGAGAACACAAGAGCAGGUUUGAUAACCUAGUUCACUCCCAAAAGGGUAGCUACGUCUCGGCCGAGACUGUGCUCGGAAUCCACUAAAUCAGAGAUAGUGUUUACAAGGAGAAAUACAAAUGACCACUCGAUACCUUUCACUAGUACUCAAGUUCACUCUGUAUCACUCUCCUUCUAAUCCAGUUUUCCACGAGCGUAUGAAACACAUUGAAAACGACUGUCAUUUCAUUCACAUUGAGCUCGUUUCAGGAAACAUUGCAACCGCUCAUGUGGGCACUACCGAGUAGCUAACGGAUCUCCGUACUAUAGCAUUUGGAUGUUAACAAUUUCAGUAUUUAUUUCGCAAAUUAAGCGUUUAUAACCUGCACGGUCCAACUUGAGGGAGAGUAUUAGGAUAAAUAUGAUUUGGAAUAUUACCAUAUCUCUAAAUUCUCAAUAUAUUUAGGUUUAGCCUAAACUCUCUUGUAAUAUAAAUACUCUCCUCUAAAUCAAUAAAGAUUCAGGCUAUUCUCUCAACUUUGGCAGGCCUAGAACGAGAGUUUAGGCAGAACGGAGCCUAGGCCUUAAGAAAUUUAUUGUAUUUAGUUAUAUACAUGUUAAGAUUUUAUAUAUCACUAAUUAUAUAUACCUGCCUCCAUUUUGAAAAGAAAUCUAACAAUACAUUCCCUUAUUUCAAAUUUAAAUUUGAAUUUAACAUAGAAGAAAAAUCUAAUAUCAUAAAGUUCAAACCCAAAAAAUAAUUAAUAAACAGUUAAAAGCUAAAUGUCGAGAUGAUCAAUUGAAUCCUUUUUAUAUCCGAAUAUUUAGUUAAAGUACGUCGUAUGAUACGACAUAAGCAUUAAACAAAAAAAAACUUAAAUAUUAACCAAUUUGAGCAAUUUUGGCCAAUUUGAACUGAUUUAGACUGCCUGAACCGGAUUUCUGAUUUUUCCCAGUGAUACGAUGAAAAUCGUUUCGGUUGAGACCACCUAGACUGCCUAAACGGGCCCUUUGAACGUUUUUUUUAAAACAUUAAUUAUAUCUUAUCUCUAUACUAUUAUUCUCAUUAUCCAUUAAUUACAUUUGGUUUAUAUAGUCGUGUCUUAUCUAAGAAACAAUCAAACAGAUACACCAAAUGCUAACAAUUUAACACACCCCAACACGUUCACAUUGACCUUCCCUUCGAGUAAUCACUCAAUAAAUGUAUAUCAAACUUCAAGUGCACCACGUUUCGUUGGGAAAUAAUUUUUUUUUUUUCAUCAACUUGAAUUUUGAAUUAAACAUAAUUUGUUCAAGAAUGUUUUUUUAAAUACUUUUAACCAAGUCAAAUAUCAAGUUCAUUGUAUUACUUAAUUUCUUGGAUUAGUUCAACACGUAAACUCAUCUAUAAAAUUGAAGUCUAUGUCUCAUAAGUUUCUUAUCUCUUCAAUACAAUCUUAUUCCACAAACAUAAACCCUCUUCCUAUCUUUUUAAUGGCAAUGAAGAGUCUCUCAUUUCUUGCAGUGCUCUCUCUCUUGGCUUUAACACUUCCAUUAGCCAUUGCUUCUGAUCCAAGCCAACUUCAAGACUUUUGUGUCAGCGCCAACACCUCAGCCAAUGGCGGUAUGUACAUGAUGAUUGCAAAUCAUUUUCAAUAAAAAAUUUCAUAUCUUAAUAACACUUUUUCUUCUUGGUUACUAUUUUCAGUUUUUGUUAAUGGAAAGUUCUGCAAGGACCCAAAGCUGGUCACAGCAGAUGACUUCUUUUUCUCAGGGCUUCAAACUGCAAGACCCAUUACUAGUCCCGUUGGGUCGACCGUGACAGCCGUCAAUGUUAACAACCUUCUUGGAUUAAACACUCUUGGAAUCUCCCUUGUCCGUAUUGAUUAUGCGGUUAACGGACAGAACCCACCUCACACCCACCCACGUGCCACAGAGAUCUUGGUUGUCGAACAAGGAACACUUCUCGUAGGGUUUGUCACAUCAAACCCGGAUAAUCGCCUAUUCUCAAAAGUUCUCAACGAGGG
rnacentral:lncRNA from 1 species